rnacentral:rRNA from 1 species
ACGCACGCUGGCGGCGUGCCUAAUACAUGCAAGUCGAACGCUUCUUUCCUCCCGAGUGCUUGCACUCAAUUGGAAAGAGGAGUGGCGGACGGGUGAGUAACACGUGGGUAACCUACCCAUCAGAGGGGGAUAACACUUGGAAACAGGUGCUAAUACCGCAUAACAGUUUAUGCCGCAUGGCAUAAGAGUGAAAGGCGCUUUCGGGUGUCGUUGAUGGAUGGACCCGCGGUGCAUUAGCUAGUUGGUGAGGUAACGGCUCACCAAGGCCACGAUGCAUAGCCGACCUGAGAGGGUGAUCGGCCACACUGGGACUGAGACACGGCCCAGACUCCUACGGGAGGCAGCAGUAGGGAAUCUUCGGCAAUGGACGAAAGUCUGACCGAGCAACGCCGCGUGAGUGAAGAAGGUGUUCGGAUCGUAAAACUCUGUUGUUAGAGAAGAACAAGGACGUUAGUAACUGAACGUCCCCUGACGGUAUCUAACCAGAAAGCCACGGCUAACUACGUG